GUUGUAUGGUUAAGUGACUAAGCGUACACGGUGGAUGCCUUGGCAGUCAGAGGCGAUGAAAGACGUAGUAA
rnacentral:rRNA from 1 species